rnacentral:lncRNA from 1 species
AAAUAAUCCCCUACCUCUAGUUUGGUGACUAGCAUGCAAGGAAGACUCUUUUGGAAGGCUUGACAACAGCAUUCAAGAACAAGGUCCUUCAUUAUACCCCUGACCUUGAAAAUUCCAUGAAAACUUUCCAAUAUUCACUCCAUCCAUUUUCCCUCCUAUUGCACUAAAAGCUUUAGUUAUCUUAUCUUUCUUUUUCGUUGUCUCUUCAAUGUUGCCAUUCCAAGCUGAGGUCAGAUCUCUCCUAAGAGCCCCUAAUCAAAUCUGGAAGACAACAGGACUGAACACAGAGUCUUCCGAACCUGGUUCCCAGACAGAACAUGCAUAAACAAAGCCCAUGCUUGGGAAUCCAGCCCUUGCUGCUGGAGGCUGAAGGACUGACUAUGACUGUUUAUCCAGCCUUUAACUUGAUCGCAGUUCUUUAGUAUUUGACAUACUUGCCAGGGGAUCCAUGAGAAAGGCAGUCCUUUCUUUAGACCCUGAUUUAUAGUCCCCUUACAGGGCCAAGGAGCGUGCCCUACAUGUGUGGUACUCCUUGACCUGGACACGGUGCUGCCACCAGGGUGACCCAAGGUUGCAGCCAGUAUUUAAACAGUUUCCCUAAACUGCUGGCCAUCCUUACUCCUAGCCUUCCCACAUAGAUUCACAAAGCCCAGUUUCAACUACUUCCUAAUAAUGCAAUUAAAUUUUUGGAAACUGAAGCCAGGUUUCAUAUUUAAAUGUUGACUUUCACACACAAGAAAGGUUGGCCAAAUACAGGAGUGACUGGAAGAUUUUGGCAAAGAUAUUAAUUGGGAUUUUCCAUUCUCAGAGAAGCUGCAUGUGUUAAUACAGGAGUGAUACUCCGUCUCUAGGGUUCCUAGGGACGAAGAGUCUGCAAAGUAUGAAACUGAAAACGAACAUGCUUCCUAGGGAAUCACUAGAAUUCUAAAAAAAAAAAAAAAAAAAGUCAACUAGAGGCAGAACUGAACCAUUUCCUCUUUUGAAAUGUAAUACCACCUACCUCUCAGGCUCAGGGCUAUGAUGGAAGUAGAAUACAUAUGAAGAGGAUAGCACAGGGCUUAGAGUAGUGGGCAAAGAAUACAUUUAGUUGUCAGAACUAUGGUGCAGGAAAAGGCAUUUGCAGGAAGUUAAACCAAGUCAGUGAAACACCUUUGCUCCACAGAGAAAUACUCCAGUGCUUUCUCCAUUCUGGUCACAAAAAAAAAAAAAAAAAAAAUCAAGCAUUAUUAGGUAUAUGCCCAAACUCUAUGCCAUUGUCUCUGCUCUGCUUUUUGUCUGAAGUGCCUUCUUCCCACACUCUGUCUCCUUACCCUGUUUGUUGAAGUUCUUUAAUUCCCAAGGCUGUAGAGCACAAAGGCUAAGAGCACAGACUUUAUUAGGUUGCUAGAAUUCAAAUCCCAGCUCUGUCUCAAGCUGUUUGGACCUUAGGUAAGCUACUUAACCUUUCUGUUCUUCAGUUUCCAGUCUGUAAAGUGGGAAUAACAACACCACCCAUGUUUAAGAUUGUUGUAAUGAUUAAAUAAAUUAACAAGUAUAAAGUUCUUAUAACAGUGCAUCCUAGGAACUAUAUAAAAGGGUUUCUCUCAUAAUUUCAAAGGUAGGCUUGUUGUUUUGAUGGCUAUUGUUUUAAAUAUGUUGUUUCACAUUAUUUUGUUAUUAUGUUUAAUUCCAUAUCUUUCAGAAACUUCCCUAGAUCUAUCAGUCUAAAGAAAUCACAUUCUCAAAUUCAACUUAAGCAUAUUGGCCCAGAGACAGCCCUGGCUGUGGCUUGUGUGUGUGUGUGUGAAUAACUCCCUGCUGCACCAGCCUUGGAGUGCUAAGGGACAGAGCCUUGCUCUUCUAUUUCUGUAGACAUGGUCAGUGCACAUUAAAUGUGUGUUGAAUUAAAUGGAAGGUAUGUAAAUGUCUAAUCAUGAAUAAACCAGCACAUUUUUGACAGUAGCUAAUCAUACC